rnacentral:misc_RNA from 1 species
UCCGUACCCCGACGCGACAGAGUCAGCCUCACUUGUUUCUGAUUUUCAUUCGUGUGUGCGUGCGUGUGUGUGUAGUAGAAAGCUGCGCAGAGGCACCAAGACAGCGUUGCACCACCCACAGCAGUGGUUCGGGGUCCGGUGCCUUGGAGACUUCUGCUCUUCUAUUUUUUUCUGUGCAGCACACCCUGUCCGUCCUUCGUGGCAAUGCCGGCGAAAACCGGUGGGUUCCGCAAGCUGGCUGAGGAGAAGGCGCUGCUGUCGGACCUUAGCAAAAUGUUCCACAUAAUCAAGGCCGACCACAAGGAGCAGCGGAACGGACGCGAGGCCGUUGCCGCGGCUGCCGCGGCCUCGACAGCAGCUGCAAACGCGGCAAGCGUAAAGGCCCCCAAGAAGACCAAGGUCGAUACACGUCGAGGCUCGCGGCGACGCAGCCAACGCGGGGGGUCCGUCUGGAUCGUGCUCAAGGGCGGCUUUAACCCGAAGAGUGUGCCCACUGCGAUGCAGACGGAGCAGGUCGACACUCGUGCUAGUGGGCGAGCUCUGCUCUCGGAAAAGCGGCGUGCCGCAGCACUCAAGGAGGCCGAGGCGUAUAUCGAGAGUGCGUGGCAGCAGGUACAAGAGGCGGAGCUCCUCACCAAGGACGGCACACCGACGGAGGAAGGUGACGCCUACCUCGCCGAGCAGUACGCCUUGGCGUCGCGGAUGCUUUGCCCUCCUACAACUGGCGCUCAUCUCCAUCAGCUCGUCGUGAGCCACUGCAACAGCGGUUUGGACGAUGUUGUCACCGGGGUGGCACAUGGCCAACCCGAGUACACGCUGACCCGAAGCGAAUGGGAGGAUAUCUGCACACGUGAGGCGGCCAUUCUUUUCCGCUAUUGCACAAGUGCCACGCCCUCCGGAACGGCGGAGGACUACUUCAAGGAGCAACAACAGGCCCGUGAAAACCUCUACCACUUUGCUACGGCGGAGCCGAUGACGAAGGCGGGCGAUAUUGUGCCCACCAAGUGCUUGGUGCGCAUUCGUGACAGCCAGCGAGACAAGCACACGUGCAUUCUGAGCACUGCCAAGUCUGUGAACUAUUUUAAGUCCAACUUCGGACAGGUACUGCGGAAGGAGCUCAGCGCGUCGCGUCUGCCGCGCGGCGGUGCGGCUGACGAGGGGGAGGCGGCCACCAGCACGAAUACUGGAAAAGGAAACCAUCAAACGACGCCGCAGUCUGGCGUGGCUGCCAACAAUUCAAACAACGGCAAAAAGAAGAGGAGGCGCUGAGCUGUGUGCAGAUGCAGAGGCGGCCGUCGUUCCGUUUGGGAGGCCGCGCCUGCGCAGCUUUCACGAUGGACCUGUGAGGUUGGCAUUUAGGCCCCCAACCCACCUCUUUCCCCUCACCAAGCGAUGUCGCGGAUUGGGCGCACUCUGCUGGUACAUCUCUUUUCACUCCCCCUUUUCGCAUGUGCAUGUGUGCGUGUGUGUGUGUGUGUGUGUGAGGUCCCGGAUAGCGAGCCUGACGGCUGGUCGGUGCGUUCGUCUUUGCUCCUCUCUUCCAUCGGCGCUUUUCUUAUUGGAAGAGGCGUCUUUAGUCGUUCUUGCCACGCGGGGGUGUCUGCAGGCAAUGUAGCUCCAGCUGCCGGCUCAUGCGGCCUGUUUUCUUCCAUCCCCGACAUACACACGCACACACACGCACGCCUCCUGUGUUCACUGAUGUUGUACGGCGGCUGGGCCGCCUUGUCGUGCUGCUCCCUCAUCUGUGGCAGCCGUGCUGCCCUGCGUUGUGUCUUCUGUUUUGACCGUCCGCGUGCGCUCGGCCAGCGGCGUAGCAGAUCGCGUUUGUACGGCGUUUGUGUGUGGUGGUGGUGGGGGCGGCGCCCAAUGAAGCGCAUAGGCGUUUUGUGUUCUGUCUCUUCGCAUGUUAUUCUCGUUAUAUUGGUAUUGGUAACUAACUCGUAUGGCGGGUGAAAAACGGUGUUGGCGCCGGGCUGCCGCGGCACGGCGCGGCCGCCAUUCGCGGGUCGGUGUAGGUGUGCAUGGCGCCUAUGCUUCGUUUUAAUUGGCAUUAUUCUCUUCCAGCCGUGCCCCCCCUCCCCACACACACCGGCUUGCCCGUUGCGGAGAUGCGCACAUUGGCGUGGGCACUCGUCAGUCGACGAGUGCCCACCAUUCG